UACGUAGGGGGCUAGCGUUGUCCGGAAUCAUUGGGCGUAAAGCGCGCGUAGGCGGCCCAGUAAGUCCGUUGUAAAAGUCAAAGGCUCAACCUUUGAAAGCCGAUGGAUACUGCUGGGCUAGAGUCCGGAAGAGGCGAGUGGAAUUCCUGGUGUAGCGGUGGAAUGCGCAGAUAUCAGGAGGAACACCGGUGGCGAAGGCGGGUCUCUGGGCCGUAACUGACGCUGAGGAGCGAAAGCGUGGGGAGCAAACAGG
rnacentral:rRNA from 1 species